rnacentral:piRNA from 1 species
UNCUUACAAAGCGAGGCUACACAGGUCC